GUAGGUGAACCUGCGGAAGGAUCAUUAAUAAUUACCCUCAAAAGGAGGUCCAACCUUAUGUGAAUCAUAUAAACAUUUUAGCUUCGGCAGCAGGUUCUAGCUUAGCUGUUGGAACUGUUAGCCUGUCGGUGGCACCAAACCAAACUUGAAUUUAAAAACCAGUCUGAAAAUUGAUUCAUUUACGAAUGGAAAAAUUAAAACUUUCAACAACGGAUCUCUUGGUUCUCGCAUCGAUGAAGAACGCAGCAUC
rnacentral:misc_RNA from 1 species